rnacentral:rRNA from 1 species
CGGUGUAGCGGUGAAAUGCGUAGAUAUCGGGAAGAACACCAGUGGCGAAGGCGCUCUGCUGGGCCAUCACUGACGCUCAUGGACGAAAGCCAGGGGAGCGAAAGGGAUUAGAUACCCCUGUAGUCCUGGCCGUAAACGAUGAACACUAGGUGUCGGGGGAAUCGACCCCCUCGGUGUCGUAGCCAACGCGUUAAGUGUUCCGCCUGGGGAGUACGCACGCAAGUGUGAAACUCAAAGGAAUUGACGGGGGCCCGCACAAGCGGUGGAGUAUGUGGUUUAAUUCGAUGCAACGCGAAGAACCUUACCAGGGUUUGACAUCCUGCGAAUCUCUUGGAAACAGGAGAGUGCCUUCGGGAACGCAGUGACAGGUGGUGCAUGGCUGUCGUCAGCUCGUGUCGUGAGAUGUUGGGUUAAGUCCCGCAACGAGCGCAACCCACGUCUUUAGUUGCCAGCAUUCAGUUGGGCACUCUAGAGAGACUGCCGGUGAUAAACCGGAGGAAGGUGUGGAUGACGUCAAGUCAUCAUGCCCCUUACAUCCUGGGCUACACACGUACUACAAUGCUACGGACAAAGGGCUGCAAGUUCGCGAGGACAAGCAAAUCCCAUAAACCGUGGCUCAGUUCAGAUCGUAGGCUGCAACUCGCCUACGUGAAGGCGGAAUCGCUAGUAAUCGCAGGUCAGCAUACUGCGGUGAAUACGUUCCCGGGCCUUGUACACACCGCCCGUCACACCAUGGAAGUUGGCCACGCCCGAAGCCGUUACUCCAACCCUUGUGGAGGAGGACGUCGAAGGUGGGGCUGAUGACUGGGGUGAAGUCGUAACAAGGUAACCGUA